UUUUCUUCCUCCUUUCCUUUUGACAUGUGAAUCCACUAAUGGGUUUUUAGAGUUCUUUAUUAAUUCAAUUUUCCUUCUAUUCCUAAAACCCUAAAAGUUUUUUUCCCUUCUUCAAGUCGUUUGCUUCCUUUUUCUUGUUUUACUCCGCGGCGGAGUCAGCCUUCGGGCUGGCUCCCGUCUGCCUUUUUCUCCCUAUCACAGAUUCUCUCUUUCUUUUUGUGAGCUCUCCUUCACCUCAAUUAUCUUUUUUUUUUCAGUUUGUAGAUCUAUUUUAUGAGCUCUCUUUCACUCCAAUUGUCUUUUCUCUUUUCAGUCUACAGAUCUAUUUUGUGAGCUCUCUUUUACCCCAAUUGUUUUUUUCUUUUGAGUUUGCAGAUCUAUUUUAUGAGAUCUAUUUUGUGAGCUCCCUUUUACCUCAAUUGCCUUUUCUUUUUUCAGUUUGCAGAUUUAAUUUGUAAGCUACUUAUUCAACCCAUGGGCCUUCUGUGAGCUCCUUAUUCACCCCAUAUGUUUUAUCUCUUUUUGGUUUGUAGAUCUAUUUUGUGAGUGGACAUUUUCGUUUUCAAUCCAAGUUGUAAUGGAUAAAUUAUGGUGUCGUUGUUGAGCCUUCAUUGACUACAGGAACAUUUGUUUCUACCCGAAGGGAAACCCGAAAAAUGAUAGGAAGGAUCAGUCGUUGAUACGAUAUCUUUACCCUUUGGUUGGGAAGUUAAUGCACAGUUCUCAUUCUUGGUGUUGGAUCAGCUCCGUGAUAAAUAUUUGACUCAUUCACAAUUGCAUGCAUAUAUGAUGAAUGAACAUUUUUACAUAAAUCGUAUUUGCAAACCCAAUGCAGAUGGAACUAUAAGGCGUUAUCAUGAGUCGAAGGCCGAAUGGGGUGUGUCUCGGUUGCUCUCCCUCGACGUUUUCAACGAUAUUUUUAUGGGAUAUCUCGUUGAUGACUGUUGCAUAUCUGGGUCAGAAGUUUUCGUCAUCAAAUAUAACAACAGGAACGAUCACAUCUCGCUUUAUUUAAAAGUCGCUGAUACGACAUCUUUACCGUUUGGUUGGGAAGUUAAUGCACAGUUCUCAUUCUUGGAGCUGGAUCAGCUCCGUGACAAAUACUUGACCAUGUAAGAUGGAACUAUACACCAUUUUUAUCGGUCAAAGACCGAAUGGAGGGUGCCCCAGUAGCUCUCUUUAGACGUUUUCAACGAUGUUUCUAUGGGAUAUCUCAUUGAUGACUGUUGCAUAUUCGGGUCAGAACUUUUCGUCAUCAAACAUAGUGGUAGAAUGGAAUGCCUGUCCAUGGUGAAGAAGCCAUUGAACAAUAUUUACAUUUGGAAAAUCAAAAAGUUUUCGGUGUUGGAUUAGUGUAUCUACUCGCAAGGCUUCACCAUACAAGGGAUUGUUUGGUAAAUUAGUUAUAAAUCAUAAUCCAGAAUGAAUAAUCUUUGCUAAAAUUAAGUAUUUUUAAUCCAAGAAGUUAUUAGUUGUUUAUCCGAAGAGAUAUUCAGACUCAGAAGGGAAAGCACUUGCUGUCUACCAGUGUUGUUGUGAAAAUGGAUGUUUUGCAUCUAAUCUGAAAGUAUAUGAAGAGUUCAAAUUAAGGGUAAA